CAGAAGCAGGCCCAUUCAACUGCUUCAAAAAAUAGCUGAAACAACAACUCACCACUGCAGGAACUGACCUUAAGACCUCAGAGUGUAUACGACUACACUCAUACGCAGGUGGUGCUCAACAAUCAGGAGGAGAGCAGCAAGAACAGACCACAUCAGGCACAAAGAUUCAGAGAAUAAGCAAACACCAUUCAGGACUUAGGAUUCAAACAUUCCUGAGGAAAAACUUAAGUCAAGGCUUUUCCCUGUUCACAAUAUUCUGUUAACAUUGCCAGAGUUGGGAGAUAUGAGCGUUGCAAACGGGCUGAUCAUCCUGAGAAGACAAUGCGUGGGCUGGCCCAGGACUUGGAGCCCCGAGGACGAGCCAGACAGACAGACAAAGUGGACGCUCCUCUCGUCUGCCCGCCACAGUCAAUCUCAAGCUUUUUUUUGAUGACCUCCGCACCCCUCCAGCUCCUCCAUUGUUUGCGAGCAACAGCCGCUAUUGGGAGGAAUACAUCGACCUGCUGGUUAAUUAGGGAUGAUUGGACACUGCUCAUGCCCCGGGAGCUCCCAUUAAUCCAAAGAAAGAUGCAACAGUCAUUAAAGCUCAUCCUUCAGAGAAUGAGAUGAAGCAUGCCUGCAAAAGCUAGGGUAGUGAACUAUUUUUUUUACUGGUGUAGAUUUGUAGGUGUUUUUCAAUAGUUGUAACAUUAUUGAUGUGUUUUGUUUUUUUGUUUUGUUUUUGUCUGAUUACGGCAGUUGUGUCA